AUUGAACGCUGGCGGCAUGCUUUACACAUGCAAGUCGAACGGUAACAGGCCUUCGGGUGCUGACGAGUGGCGAACGGGUGAGUAAUGCAUCGGAACGUGCCCAGUCGUGGGGGAUAACGCAGCGAAAGCUGUGCUAAUACCGCAUACGAUCUGUGGAUGAAAGCGGGGGACCUUUGGGCCUCGCGCGAUUGGAGCGGACGAUGUCAGAUUAGGUAGUUGGUGGGGUAAAGGCUCACCAAGCCAACGAUCUGUAGCUGGUCUGAGAGGACGAACAGCCACACUGGGACUGAGACACGGCCCAGACUCCUACGGGAGGCAGCAGUGGGGAAUUUUGGACAAUGGGGGAAACCCUGAUCCAGCAAUGCCGCGUGCAGGAAGAAGGCCUUCGGGUUGUAAACUGCUUUUGUACGGAGCGAAAAGGCUUCCUCUAAUACAGGGGGCUCAUGACGGUACCGUAAGAAUAAGCACCGGCUAACCACGUGCCAGCCGCCGCGGUAAUAC
rnacentral:rRNA from 1 species